rnacentral:lncRNA from 1 species
GGUCGGUGGGUUUGCCACCAAACCUUUCUCUCUUAAUCUCUUAAAAUACACGUGUGUUGCCAUUUGCCACCUACCUUUCUUCUAGAUCCCUCUUUUUCUUCCUCUGUUCUCACUGAGCUCUUGAACGGUGGGAAAUCUUCUGCAGGCAUCGCAAACGGCCGCAACAUUUUCUCCAUCUUUUCUAGAGUAAGGUAUGACUAGCCAGGAGCUUUAAUUUGAUGUUCAGGUAAUUGCUAAUUUUGACAUAAGAAAAAAAAAGAAGUUUUAUAGUGAAGCCGCAUGUCAAGUUGCAACUUUAGGCUAUGUGAACUUAAUUUCAUAAGAAGUUUUAUGGUGAAGCCGGAGCUUUGUGUAAAAGAAAAAAAAAGAAGAACAACUUGGUCUAUACAUGUUCAUAUUCCUUCAAAAGAAUAACACGAGCGUGACAAUUGCGAACCAUUAUAUAUUCGGUAGUUCUUACCACCCCUGUUUUAGUUGAGCAUCAUAGUUUUUUCCACUUUUGGGAUGUAUUUGAAUUGAGUCGUUACUUGAGAAAAUCUUUAUCCAUUCCUUUGUAAAAAGAGCCUUUUGUUUUGAAGAAAUUGUAUUAUUAUGGUACGUUGUGUGCAUUAGUAUAAUCUUAAAGAAGAAGGUCGGUGACUGUGACAUCACAGCCACCGCCUUCUUUUAUAUAUAAAAAUGUUCGGCGUUACAG